GUCGAGGGGUAAAGGAGCUUGCUCCUUUGAGACCGGCGCACGGGUGCGUAACGCGUAUGCAAUCUACCUUUCACAGAGGGAUAGCCCAGAGAAAUUUGGAUUAAUACCUCAUAGUAUAGCAGUUUCGCAUGAAACCACUAUUAAAGUCACAACGGUGAAAGAUGAGCAUGCGUCCCAUUAGCUAGUUGGUAAGGUAACGGCUUACCAAGGCAACGAUGGGUAGGGGUCCUGAGAGGGAGAUCCCCCACACUGGUACUGAGACACGGACCAGACUCCUACGGGAGGCAGCAGUGAGGAAUAUUGGACAAUGGGCGCAAGCCUGAUCCAGCCAUGCCGCGUGCAGGAUGACGGUCCUAUGGAUUGUAAACUGCUUUUGUACAGGAAGAAACACCUCUACGUGUAGAGACUUGACGGUACUGUAAGAAUAAGGAUCGGCUAACUCCGUGCCAGCAGCCGCGGUAAUACGGAGGAUCCAAGCGUUAUCCGGAAUCAUUGGGUUUAAAGGGUCCGUAGGCGGUUUAGUAAGUCAGUGGUGAAAGCCCAUCGCUCAACGGUGGAACGGCCAUUGAUACUGCUAGACUUGAAUUAUUAGGAAGUAACUAGAAUAUGUAGUGUAGCGGUGAAAUGCUUAGAGAUUACAUGGAAUACCAAUUGCGAAGGCAGGUUACUACUAAUUGAUUGACGC
rnacentral:rRNA from 1 species